CAUAAUGGAAACCAGUUCACCAACAUCCCAACCGCCAAAAUCCCUAAAUUCACUCCGGCAUGCCCGUAUUUUUCUGCACCGAGUAAAAGCUCUCAUCGUUAUCAUCGAAAAAUUUCACGGAUUUCUCACGGAUUUGCAGCUACAACAUGUCUAAACGGGUUCUCUGCAAAUUCUUUGCUCAUGGUGCAUGUCUAAAAGGGGAACACUGUGAGUAUUCACAUGAUUGGAAGGCCCCACCUAAUAAUAUAUGUACGUUCUACCAGAAAGGAGCUUGCGCUUAUGGCACUCGUUGUAGAUAUGAUCACGUCAAAGUUUCUCAGUUACAGUCGCCAGCUUCAUCAUCAUCUGCAGAUCUUUCUUCCACCACAGCUGCGACAUUAGUCUCCGGUGCUACCACUGGUGUUAGUUUUGAACAUUCAGCUUCUAACUUACCAGUUCAUCCUCCUUUUACACCAGCAUGGGGAGAGAAUUCUGGGAAUUCUGAUACUCUACAAGGUGAUGAUGAUUUGGCAGACUUUAGGGAUUUAGAUCCUGCUGACCAACCAAUAUGCUCUUUUGCUGCUGCUGGGGAAUGUCCACAUGGUGUGAGUUGCCAUCGAGUUCAUGGGGAUCUUUGUCCUACCUGCAGGAAGCAUUGCUUGCAUCCUUUUAGGCCUCAAGAGAGAGAAGAACACAUGAAAACAUGUGAAAAGAGACAAAAACACUUAGAAGCAUUGACACAUAGUCAAGAAAUAGAAUGCAGUGUUUGUCUUGAGAAGAUCCUCUCAAAACCUACGGCAGCUGAACGUAAAUUUGGGAUAUUGUCAGAGUGCGAUCAUCCAUUUUGUGUAUCAUGCAUCAGGAAUUGGCGCAGUACUUCACGAUCAUCUGGCAUGGAUGCUAAUCCUGCAUUAAGAUCAUGCCCUAUAUGUAGGAAGCUUUCAUAUUUUGUGAUUCCAAGUGUAAUUUGGUAUUCCUCUAAAGAUGAUAAGCAAGAAAUUGUUGACAGUUACAAGUCCAAGCUGAGAUCUAUUGAUUGCAGGCACUUUGACUUCGGGAAUGGGACCUGCCCAUUUGGCACGAGUUGUUUUUAUAGGCAUGCAUAUCGUGAUGGUCGUCUUGAGGAAGUUGUCCUCCGCCAUCUUGGAGCAGAAGAUGGAAAUACUGUAAUUGCCAAAGAUAUUAGGCUCUCCGAUUUUCUUAGUAAUAUGUGGAUAAGAUGACCAACGCAUUAAGAGAUCUAGAGACUGCUCUCAGGUCUCCAAUACCAAUGAUUGCUCAGUCAUUGCACACACAACUUGUAAUAUUUUCCUGUGCUACGGCUUGAAAUCAUCAAGCUUUUUGUAUCAUUCUGGCAUGUGUCCAGCUAAAAACUACAAAGUUGAUGGAUCAAGAGUGCUUUUGCUAAG